rnacentral:rRNA from 1 species
GAGUGUGUGUGGAGCGUGGUGGAACCACCCCGUCCCAUCCCGAACCGGGUCGUGAAACGCCGCAGCGCCGAUAUUACUGGGGCCUGAGCCCUGGGAAGGUAGGUCCACGCACUCG